rnacentral:lncRNA from 1 species
CCCUGGCGACUCACAGCCCGGGCUGCGGGCGAACCCGCGCGGAGGUGAGGCACCCGGCACAGCGAAGCGGACUCCGGGUGGGGUGGCCGCCGGCAGACGCGCAUCGCACUUCACCCUGCCGAGCACAGUAGAUAUCCUGAGUGUACUUGGUGGAGGUAACUUCAUACAUGAAGAACCAGGCAGUGAAGAACACGCCACAGCAGCAGAGUUGGAUGAGGGAAGUUGUCCGCAUGCGCCAGGCUGGUAUAGCUCCUCGUGGCCUCCAGUUUCAUUUUGCUGGAAAAGGUUAUUCCACCAUUCUGCCCUGAGUUUUCAUCUGUUGCUUUGGACCUUCCUUCUAGGUUUCAGGCAGAGGCUGUGAUGGCAUCAGGAAGGUUGGCCAGAAUGAUCAUGUAGAAAAGUAGAUCAUGUAGAAAAGUAAUCUCUGGAUGAGAAAGAUGGCAGCCGAGACAAAAGGAGUCUCUUGGUGAGUUGUUUUUAAAAUCUGAAAAUACAUUUCUGGGAACUUGAACAAAGUGGAAGAUUUACACAUAAAAAAAAUAUGAAUCAAUAUACGAACAGAUAAAUAACCUGGUUUAUGAUCUGCCUACAGACAGUAAUGGAGCGCAUAGAAAGUGAAAGGGAUCCUUCUCUGUAAAGGCUUCAUUUUGC